rnacentral:rRNA from 1 species
AUUGAACGCUGGCGGCAUGCUUUACGCAUGCAAGUCGAACGGUAACAGGUUAAGCUGACGAGUGGCGAACGGGUGAGUAAUGCAUCGGAACGUGCCCGAUCGUGGGGGAUAACGCAGCGAAAGCUGCGCUAAUACCGCAUACGAUUUGAGGAUGAAAGCGGGGGACCGUAAGGCCUCGCGCGAUCGGAGCGGCCGAUGUCAGAUUGGGUAGUUGGUGGGGUAAAGGCUCACCAAGCCAACGAUCGGUAGCUGGUCUGAGAGGACGACCAGCCACACUGGGACUGAGACACGGCCCAGACUCCUACGGGAGGCAGCAGUGGGGAAUUUUGGACAAUGGGCGAAAGCCUGAUCCAGCAAUGCCGCGUGCAGGAAGAAGGCCUUCGGGUUGUAAACUGCUUUUGUACGGAGCGAAAAGGUCUCCUCUAAUACAGGGGGCUCAUGACGGUACCGUAAGAAUAAGCACCGGCUAACUACGUGCCAGCCGCCGCCGUAA